AUACGUAGGGGGCGAGCGUUGUCCGGAAUGAUUGGGCGUAAAGGGCGCGUAGGCGGCGCGGUAAGUCUGGAGUGAAAGUCCUGCUUUCAAGGUGGGAAUUGCUUUGGAUACUGCCGCGCUUGAGUGCAGGAGAGGUUAUCGGAAUUCCCGGUGUAGCGGUGAAAUGCGUAGAGAUCGGGAGGAACACCAGUGGCGAAGGCGGGUAACUGGACUGCAACUGACGCUGAGGCGCGAAAGUGUGGGGAGCAAACAGGAUUAGAUACCCUGGUAGUCCACACUGUAAGCGAUGAAUGCUAGGUGUAAGAGGUAUCGACCCCUUUUGUGCCGGAGUCAACACAAUAAGCAUUCCGCCUGGGGAGUACGGCCGCAAGGUUGAAACUCAAAUGAAUUGACGGGG
rnacentral:rRNA from 1 species